UAGAUUGAAGCCAGUUGUCUAGGGUAUUUAGCUGUUAACUAAAGUUUCGUGGGAUGAUAGCCCACCAAUCUAG
rnacentral:tRNA from 3 species